rnacentral:rRNA from 1 species
UACAGAGGUCUCAAGCGUUGUUCGGAUUCAUUGGGCGUAAAGGGUGCGUAGGCGGCGCGGUAAGUCGGGUGUGAAAUCUCGGAGCUUAACUUCGAAACUGCAUUCGAUACUGCCGUGCUUGAGGACUGGAGAGGAGACUGGAAUUUACGGUGUAGCGGUGAAAUGCGUAGAUAUCGUAAGGAAGACCAGUGGCGAAGGCGGGUCUCUGGACAGUUCCUGACGCUGAGGCACGAAAGCCAGGGGAGCAAACGGG